CCCUUAGAUGUUCUGGGCCGCACGCGCGCUACACUGACGAUGGCAACGAGUUUUUCCUUCGCCGAAAGGUGUGGGUAAUCUUUUGAAACAUCGUCGUGCUGGGGAUAGAUCAUUGCAAUUUUUGAUCUUGAACGAGGAAUUCCUAGUAAGCGCGAGUCAUCAGCUCGCGUUGAUUACGUCCCUGCCCUUUAUACACACCGCCCGUCGCUACUACCGAUUGAAUGGUUUAGUGAGGACUCCUGAUUGGCGCCGCCGCCCCGGCAACGGAGCAGCGGACUGCCGAAAAGUUGUUCAAACUUGAUCAUUUAGAGGAAGUAAAAGUCGUAACA
rnacentral:rRNA from 1 species